UCCGGUUCCGGUUCUUGUUCUUGUUCUGGUUCCGGUUCUUGUCCCAGUUCUGGUUCUGGUUCCGGUUCUUGUCCCAGUUCUGGCUCCGGUUCCGGCUCUCAGCCCAGAUCAGGAAGGUUCUGUGACUCUGCGGUUUUUGUCUCAGUCAGAAACAUUUAUUUUGAUUAAAUGUUCAGCCGGUUUGUUCCUCCACACUAACAGGAUUCACAGACGAACAUUUAUUUUCUUAACUUCCUCUUUAAAACAGUGAGAACUCUAAUUAUUUAUCUGAUUGUUGCUGAAAGAGCAUUUUAUUUCACACAUUGACCACUGACUGGAUCAACCAGCAGGAAAAUCUGGUCGAUUUUGGUAUUUUUCACAUUGAUUGACGCCUUUUCUGUGUUUUUUUGGCUCAAUAAAACAGAUUUAUUUUAAUUAAAUCUUCUAAUAAUGCUCAGAAACGCAUCAAUCAACCCAGAUCCAGAUUUCCUCAAAGUCUCAUUCUGACAUAUUUUUAAUCUGAGUAUAAUCCAAAACUGCCCAUUUUCAUGCAUCACAAAAUGUAUUGAUAACUUUUAAUAUAUCCUUAUGUAUAAAAUUCAACAAGCUGCACAACAGAACAUGCUGCUGAUUGAUGCUGAAAGAGCAUUUUAUUUGAGAUAUUGACCACUGACUGGUGCUAAUCCCAGGAAAAUCUGGUCGAUUUUGAUCUUUUUCACAUUGGUUCACAUUAGUUGAUGCCUUUUAAACCUGUAAAUGUCAACGUUAAAGUAAUCCAAGGGUUUGCUUUAACGUAAACCUUUGGAUUUACGUUAAAGUAAUCCAAAGGUUUGCGUUUGUUUGGAUCACAAUCACAGCUCCACUCGAUGAUCAUCUGGUCAGAAAACAGAGAAACCAAACGCCUGCAGGAGGAAAACAUUCACAUAAAAUCAACGUCAAACAAAAAAAACCACUUCGUCUGAUAUUUACCAUGAUGACUUUGAACAAACAUCCCCCCGUUUUACUGAGCAUGUGUAUGUAAAACCUUACCGCUGCAGACGGGAAAAAAUGUUUCUCUUUAUUCAAAAACUAAAUAUUGUGGUGUAAAUUCGUGAAAUAAAAGCUUUUUAAUGUCUGUAAAUGAGAGAUUACUGCCCUCGGAAUAAUAAAAACGAUGGCAAAAAUCA